UAGGGAAUCUUCGGCAAUGGGGGCAACCCUGACCGAGCAACGCCGCGUGAGUGAAGAAGGUUUUCGGAUCGUAAAGCUCUGUUGUAAGUCAAGAACGGGUGUGAGAGUGGAAAGUUCACACUGUGACGGUAGCUUACCAGAAAGGGACGGCUAACUACGUGCCAGCAGCCGCGGUAAUACGUAGGUCCCGAGCGUUGUCCGGAUUUAUUGGGCGUAAAGCGAGCGCAGGCGGUUUGAUAAGUCUGAAGUUAAAGGCUGUGGCUCAACCAUAGUUCGCUUUGGAAACUGUCAAACUUGAGUGCAGAGUG
rnacentral:rRNA from 1 species